rnacentral:rRNA from 1 species
AGAGUUUGAUCCUGGCUCAGGAUGAACGCUGGCGGCGUGCCUAACACAUGCAAGUCGAACGAAGCUUGACGGAUGAUUUCUUCGGAAUGAAACCAGAUAUGACUUAGUGGCGGACGGGUGAGUAACACGUGAGCAACCUGCCUUUCAGAGGGGGAUAACGGCUGGAAACGGUCGCUAAUACCGCAUGAUGUGUUCGGAUGGCAUCAUCUGAACAUCAAAGAUUUAUCGCUGAAAGAUGGGCUCGCGUCUGAUUAGAUAGUUGGUGGGGUAACGGCCUACCAAGUCUACGAUCAGUAGCCGGACUGAGAGGUUGAACGGCCACAUUGGGACUGAGAUACGGCCCAGACUCCUACGGGAGGCAGCAGUGGGGAAUAUUGCACAAUGGGGGAAACCCUGAUGCAGCAACGCCGCGUGAAGGAUGACGGUUUUCGGAUUGUAAACUUCUUUUCUUAGUGACGAAGACAGUGACGGUAGCUAAGGAAUAAGCAUCGGCUAACUACGUGCCAGCAGCCGCGGUAAUACGUAGGAUGCAAGCGUUAUCCGGAUUUACUGGGUGUAAAGGGAGCGCAGGCGGGACUGCAAGUUGGAUGUGAAAUACCGUGGCUUAACCACGGAACUGCAUCCAAAACUGUAGUUCUUGAGUGAAGUAGAGGCAAGCGGAAUUCCGAGUGUAGCGGUGAAAUGCGUAGAUAUUCGGAGGAACACCAGUGGCGAAGGCGGCUUGCUGGGCUUUAACUGACGCUGAGGCUCGAAAGUGUGGGGAGCAAACAGGAUUAGAUACCCUGGUAGUCCACACUGUAAACGAUGAUAGCUAGGUGUGGGGGGUCUGACCCCUUCCGUGCCGGAGUUAACGCAAUAAGCUAUCCACCUGGGGAGUACGACCGCAAGGUUGAAACUCAAAGGAAUUGACGGGGGCCCGCACAAGCAGUGGAGUAUGUGGUUUAAUUCGACGCAACGCGAAGAACCUUACCAAGUCUUGACAUCCUGCGACGAUGCUAGAAAUAGUAUUUUCCUUCGGGACGCAGAGACAGGUGGUGCAUGGUUGUCGUCAGCUCGUGUCGUGAGAUGUUGGGUUAAGUCC